rnacentral:tRNA from 8 species
AGCCCCGUGGUGAAGAAACAUGUUGGAUUGCAAAUCCAGAGACGUAGAUUAAUAGUCUGCCGGGGCUU